rnacentral:rRNA from 1 species
GAUGAACGCUGACAGAAUGCUUAACACAUGCAAGUCGAUUCGAUUUACCUUCGGGUAUUGAGGAUGGCGGACGGGUGAGUAACGCGUAAGGAACUUGCCUCUUGGUCUGGGACAACUGUUGGAAACGACAGCUAAUACCGGAUAUUAUGAGAUUCUCGCAUGGGAAACUUAUGAAAGCUAUAUGCGCCAAGAGAGAGCCUUGCGUUCCAUUAGCUAGUUGGUGGGGUAACGGCCCACCAAGGCGACGAUGGAUAGCCGGCCUGAGAGGGUGAACGGCCACAAGGGGACUGAGACACGGCCCUUACUCCUACGGGAGGCAGCAGUGGGGAAUAUUGGACAAUGGGCCACAAGCCUGAUCCAGCAAUUCUGUGUGCACGAUGAAGGUCUUCGGAUUGUAAAGUGCUUUCAGUUGGGAAGAAGAAAGUGACGGUACCAACAGAAGAAGCGACGGCUAAAUACGUGCCAGCAGCCGCGGUAAUACGUAUGUCGCAAGCGUUAUCCGGAUUUAUUGGGCGUAAAGCGCGUCUAGNCGGAAAAAUAAGUCUGAUGNNNAAAUGCGGGGCUCAACUCCGUAUUGCGUUGGAAACUGUUUUUCUAGAGUACUGGANAG